rnacentral:rRNA from 1 species
GGGAAUAUUGGACAAUGGGGGCAACCCUGAUCCAGCCAUGCCGCGUGUGUGAAGAAGGCUUUCGGGUUGUAAAGCACUUUCAGUGAGGAGGAAGGCUUUCAGAUUAAUACUCUGGAGGAUUGACGUUACUCCCAGAAGAAGCACCGGCUCACUCCGUGCCAGCAGCCGCGGUAAUACGGAGGGUGCAAGCGUUAACCGGAAUUACUGGGCGUAAAGCGCGCGUAGGUGGUUUGAUAAGCGAGAUGUGAAAGCCCCGGGCUUAACCUGGGAACGGCAUUUCGAACUGUCAGGCUAGAGUGUGGUAGAGGGUAGUGGAAUUUCCUGUGUAGCGGUGAAAUGCGUAGAUAUAGGAAGGAACACCAGUGGCGAAGGCGGCUACCUGGACCAACACUGACACUGAGGUGCGAAAGCGUGGGGAGCA